rnacentral:snoRNA from 1 species
CCCCUCUCAGGCUCUCACCUGGAGAGUUUCCAGUCCUCUACCAGUCUCGACUACGGGAGGGAGAGUCAAGCAGAGCAAGACCCGUUCCAUUCCUAGCUUGGGCAGUGGCUAGUGAGUGGAAGGCAAUCUGCCACAAGU